CCUGGGCUUUCUCACUUCCUGGUGCGAGCUGUGCUUACCUGUUGGGCUGCGUUUGGGGAUCAAUUCCCCCUUCAGCUGGGUGUCAACUUGCUGCUAGAUGAGUGGCUGUAGGGAGGUCGCAGACUCCCCACCUCUUCUACUGGGCGUGUCAGUUAAAUGUUUGUUUGCCAGGAGCGGCUAAUCUGCCGUGGAGCCCGCCAGCUGUUUUGUCCUUCCGUGUGGCUUCGAAGUCCAGUGUUGGCACCCAUAAAUACGCCUGGUCUGCCUCUGCUCCUUGGAAGUCCGCCGUCUGCAGAAGCUGAGCACGACGGUGGCGGCAUCGGUGUCCCUGGGUGGUGGGUCUCCCUCCCGUGUGAUGUGCUGCGCACCCCUUUUUGUUUGAGUGUGUUCACCUUUAUUUUCAGUGAGUGAGAGUGUCCACGUGUGUCUGGGGUGAUCCUUCCGAGGCCUUCAUUCCCUUACUACCCGUGUCCCACCGAACCCACGUCUCCUGCUUCUUAAGCCACGAACCUGAGUGUCCUCACCAAUCAUUACUUUUUAGUUAUUUCCUUGGGUGCAAGUCCCAAGGUGGCGUUGUCUGGCUUCCGUUAAUCUGACUCAUCUCGCCACACUUCAACUGAACAGGUAUUUUUAUUUAAACUCUCUUUUUAAACACUUUGUCCUGGUGACUCAGAGUGAAACAAACAGCAUCGCUGACCUUGCAGUUCUCAUGGAAGUAGGACUGAGAGAAGUCAAGGACAGAUUCAGAUAGUCUCGGAAACAAGUUUUGAUUGCUAUAAAAAAACUUUUACAAACUUACAAUAAUUUCAACAAAAACAACACAAAACUCAAUAGUUUUACACUAUUUACUUCACACUUUCAAACAUAACACAUCAAACCAACACUGAGGGUUUUAAAGGAGAGGGUCGCUGGUUCUGUAGAAAAACCUCAGCCUGGACGGCCAGCAGAUGGCUGCCCGACACAAGUAAGAACAACCCAUGUCAGACUCCCUCUGCCACGCCCCUCCCUCUGGCUCCAGCUAGUGGCAGGCCCUUGCUUUGGUUUUCUCCUGCUUUCCUUUUCUUUAGGUGGGCGUGGUCUUAUGGUGGGUGAGGUGUGGACUGCUGCAGGGAAGCAGCUGAUCACCUGAGCGCAUUCACCUGCAGGGGGCGUGGUCUGCACCAGACGAUGGUCUCCCUAUAAAGCUGGCACAGUGCAGCGUUGGACUGUCGAUCUACCAACAGUCAGUGACCCUGUGUUGCUCUGCUGCACUCUGCUCUAACCAGAUUGACCUCUGCAGCCUUCAGGAACCCCCCUGCUGCACCCCGUCCUGGACUGCGCCCCUGAGCCUCGUCUGCUUCACUCUGUGCUGGAAAAGUGUCUCGGACCUCACCCCUCUGGGCAGCUGCACCAGCAUUUCCAACCAAUCUCUCCACUGGCUGAGCAUCCACCACCCCACUUCCUUAAUGCUCUCUUCUCAGGAAGCUCUGACCCUUGCUGGGUUGUAGUGAAAGCUCUUGAGUUCAGUUAUUGGUGCCUUGGUUCCCUUUGGAUUCCUGUUUCUGUUCCUGGGAAGCUCCUCAGUGUAUUUUUGGCGUCACUGGAUUGGUCUGGUUUUGUUUUCUUUUUAUAAAUAAGAAAGUUUAGAAAUGACUGAUCUGUGUGUGUCUGUGCCCGAGUCUGAACUGUGACACACUCGGUGUGUGUUAAUUGAAUGAUAUCAGUUCUGAUGUUUGCCAUCAGUUUUUUAAGCCAGGCCAGUCAAGCUGAUUUUAGGUUAUGAAGAUUAAGCAUGUUUG